AUAACCACCUGGAAACAGAUGCUAAUACCGGAUAACAACAGAUGAUGCCUAUCAACUGUUUAAAAGNUGGUUCUGCUAUCACUCUUGGAUGGACCUGCGGUGCAUUAGCUAGUUGGUAGGGUAACGGCCUACCAAGGCGAUGAUGCAUAGCCGAGUUGAGAGACUGAUCGGCCACAUUGGGACUGAGACACGGCCCAAACUCCUACGGGAGGCAGCAGGC
rnacentral:rRNA from 1 species